GCAGUAACAGCAGGAGCGACAACUGGGGAACUGCCGGGAAGGAGAAUCACUGCUUUAAGAACUUACCUCGUGAAUAAGGAACUGCUGAACUCAAGAUCUCUACAUCAACCAGUUCCUGGGGCAAAGCAUUCCACCUGCAACACAUUUCUGACACUUGAAAACAUAUCAGCCAAACACCACCUACUUUUCCAAAACUGUCAGUACGCAGGAUAUCAGGAAAGAACAAUGGAAGAUGGGUGAAAGUCAGGAAAUGACUGGCAUUAGUUGAUGAGCUGUUAAACUUUUGGGAAGCAAGAGAACAUUCCAAAUGCAGCCAAGUUCAACUUUCUAUAACAUUGCUUAGUACUUUUGAGAGGCUUUUGAAGCACUUUAAACCUAACCCGUUGAGAAACUGAUGGGAUCAGCUGCAAUUCUGGUUUUACACCAAGCACAAUUGUAAUGUUAACAGGAGGCUCCCAAGCACUGAGGAUGUCACCUAGACAGUGGACGAAACGUCUGCAACACAAAUUCCCAGCUCGGCGAACAGAACCACAACAACAAGCACUCGAGCUACAAAUCUUCUCACAAACUUUGUAGUGUUAACAGAUUAAAUUUGAAUGUCUCUCUGGAAAUGAAUAUAUUAAGCUGCACUGAGUGAACAUUCUGGAAGUGUAAUGCAGGAAUGUGAAUGACUCCCAUUCCAAUUAGACAGUCAUUUGCUACUACUCCCCCUACUAUGAUCAAAUUAAACUAUCAUUCAAUGUGAGGGAGUGGCUGGGGGUUGUCGAGUGGCAUGUGACAGUGGGGGAGUGGCCAGAGUAUCUGUGAGCAUG